ACAAACGACAGUAUCAUUUCAAAAUGUUAGGGUUUUUCACCCACCGCCUCUCAGCCGCUCCGCCUUAAGUUUUGAGGUUCCACUACUGAUGCGUUUUGUUCCACUGGUUUUGUGAUAUUAUAUGGCAAUGAGUAGCUAUCAGUCCAUCAGGAGUUAAUCUGUUGAUGAUGAUGGGGUGGGUCUUUGACAAUGAAAUCAUUUCAUCAUCAAGGUAUUUCUGUAGAUUCUUUUGGUAUUUGAAAAUUAUAUAUGGCACUUGAUUUUCUAUGGUUGCUUUUACAUUUCGAAUUCAUCAUAGUGGAGGGGCAUAUCGUGACUGGAAAAAUGUAAACUUAUUUUUUUAUAACUAAGUAUCUGACUCGAUAUGCCGACCAAUUCAAGAGAUUAAUUUCACCA